GACGAACGCUGGCGGCGUGCCUAAUACAUGCAAGUAGAACGCUGAAGGAGGAGCUUGCUUCUCUGGAUGAGUUGCGAACGGGUGAGUAACGCGUAGGUAACCUGCCUGGUAGCGGGGGAUAACUAUUGGAAACGAUAGCUAAUACCGCAUAAUAGUAGAUGUUGCAUGACAUUUGCUUAAAAGGUGCAAUUGCAUCACUACCAGAUGGACCUGCGUUGUAUUAGCUAGUUGGUGAGGUAACGGCUCACCAAGGCAACGAUACAUAGCCGACCUGAGAGGGGGAUCGGCCACACUGGGACUGAGACACGGCCCAGACUCCUACGGGAGGCAGCAGUAGGGAAUCUUCGGCAAUGGACGGAAGUCUGACCGAGAAACGCCGCGUGAGUGAAGAAGGUUUUCGGAUCGUAAAGCUCGGUUGUAAGAGAAGAACGAGUGUGAGAGUGGAAAGUUCACACUGUGACGGUAACUGACCAGAAAGGGACGGCUAACUACGUG
rnacentral:rRNA from 1 species